AAGAGAGGACUGAAGAUCAAAGCACUCACACAACUUUCAGGAAGAAUUUCAAAGUAUCUCAAUCUUAGUCUCACAAAGCUUUGUACUUAUUAGUUUGCAAUAGUUAUAUAAAAAAUAGAAUCGAGUCGACUUUGUAAUACAAACUGAAGUUGUGUCACAAGAUCUGAAGAACAAAAUAAGUCUUUAGAACUUAUUUCUCAUCAUUGUACUCGAGCCUGACUUUAAAUGAUUUACGGAAACGUUGAAACCCAAGGGGACUGGAAUUAGACAC
rnacentral:lncRNA from 1 species